GAGAAAGCCCGCAGUCUGCCAGCCGAGUUAGGGCUGGGAACGCUCCUCCUCUGAGCAGACCGUGCUCUGUCUUCCGUGCUCUUCUGCUGCCAUCUGCAGGGCCUGGCUCGGCUGCGACUCUGCCUGCUUUUGCUCUUUCUUGCCCGCACCCAGAGGACUCAGCCCAGUGUCAAGCCUUGCUUUGACAGGAGGCAUUUGUUGUUGAGCACAGUCACAUCUGAGAAACCACUACAAGCAGGAAACCUGGAGUUCCAUUCAUGCUCAAGGCUAAGUCACCACAACAUGCACAGAAGGUGAGUUAAGCUGUGCUUUGUUUCCCAAGUUUUUCCUCUAUCCUGGGGUAAGGAAGGCUCUCCCAAGCCACCAAGCUUCUGAAAUAAUGGAGGGCUCUGGUUGGGAAAAAGAAGAGCACAGUCUGCGGAAGCUGUUAUUCCCAAUUACUUCAGACUACUCUGGCCCAGCUACAGGGAUAACUCAGAUACUCAUGAAGUAGCUGCUUAGCUACUUAAAAUCAGGACUAGUUUCAACUUUCCUUAAUAUGCCAGACUACCAUUUGUGUUGAUCAGGGUCACAAACAGUUGAGUCACUGCUGAAGCAGAACCAGAAGCCUCAGAGGGAAAAACCUGUGAGUAAGGGACAUGAUGGGCAGGCAUGAAAGGCACACUUUACACCCAUAUGGUUUUAUGUCUUGCUCACAUUUGAGUCAGCACCAAUCAGCAACAUCUUAGUGCAAAGAAUAUUUUACACUUAGUGAGCACCAGUAAUAACUUUUCUCCAGUGAUCUCAAGAUAGAUAAGAACCUCACAGGUCGUGGGCAAGUGCAGAUGAGGAUGCAUUCACACACAUACCACACAUACCCCCCCAGAAACCAAAAGUAAGACAAAGCACCACUUGUUCCACCUUGCCCAUUUGGUACUUAUUCUACUCAAGAUUAAAACUGAUGAUCAUAGAUAAAUACAUAAGCUUAUUGCUAGCACUCUCAUUGCUUGCCAUUAUUAAGUCUGUCUGUACUUCAGGGAACUGCAUUUCAUAGAUGAGGGUUUGUUUCAGAUCCUGCUUUAAGCCAAGUGAGAUACGUCUGCACUACAGCUGAGAACCAAGUUGUAGGAGAGCAUCUCAGAUGCACAAU
rnacentral:lncRNA from 1 species